ACAAACUUGGUCAUUUAGAGGAAGUAAAAGUCGUAACAAGGUUUCCGUAGGUGAACCUGCGGAAGGAUCAUUAUAGUGUGGGGCCUCCGAGCCCCUAGAGAGAGAUAACACCCUUGACCUUUCAAGCACCUUCUGUUUCCUCGGCGGGCUCGCCCGCCAGUGGACAAAACCAAAAACUCUUUUGCAAUAGCAGUAUCCUCUGAUAAAGCAAAUCAAAAAGUUAAAACUUUCAACAACGGAUCUCUUGGUUCUGGCAUCGAUGAAGAACGCAGC
rnacentral:misc_RNA from 1 species